rnacentral:rRNA from 1 species
GACGAACGCUGGCGGCGUGCUUAACACAUGCAAGUCGAACGGAAAGGCCCUGCUUUUGUGGGGUGCUCGAGUGGCGAACGGGUGAGUAACACGUGAGUAACCUGCCCUUGACUUUGGGAUAACUUCAGGAAACUGGGGCUAAUACCGGAUAGGAGCUCCUGCUGCAUGGUGGGGGUUGGAAAGUUUCGGCGGUUGGGGCUGGAUUCGCGGCUUAUCAGCUUGUUGGUGGGGUAGUGGCUUACCAGGGCUUUGACGGGUAGCCGGCCUGAGAGGGUGACCGGCACCAUUGGGACUGAGAUGCGGCGCAGACGCCUACGGGAGGGAGCAGUGGGGAAUAUUGCACAAUGGGCGGAAGCCUGAUGCAGCAGCGCCGCGUGCGGGAUGACGGCCUUCGGGUUGUAAACCGCGUUCGCCUGUGACGAAGCGUGAGUGACGGUAAUGGGUUAAGAAGCACCGGCUAACUACGUG